AAAAUGCAUGUUUACAGGUUGCAAAUGGUUGUGACAUUGCUCCUUAAUGAAGCCAACAAUGUUAGGGGAAAUAUUAUACAGGCAUGUGGAUUGUGAGAGGUUAUCGGACCGGAAAAUGUCAAAAUAAGGUAGAGAACGAAGAAAAUUCGGGAGAUGGGGUAGAAAAUGAUGGAGAUGGAUAAAUGAAUGCAGAAAUUGGAGAAACACAACCUCAAAGUGCUGAAAAAAUGAGGAACAUCAGGCAGUGUUUGACGAGAGGACAUGAUAUUAAAUUACAUUGAAAUGACGAUGAGAAAAAUGUCAGGACAAAUUCGGUUAAUAUACAAUUGGAAAGUAUUAAUUUUGGCUUCUGACCAUUUGUAUGCCAUAUGUAGUAAAUAGAUAUGUUUCAACUUCAUUGUGUCUGUAUUUGAUGAAUGGUAUGUGGGCCGCUACAUAAGCCAUUUGUUUGAAGAAUUACAGUCCAUAGAUGCUAACAAUGUGGCUAAUCAGAAACUUUUGUUUCAUUAGAUUGACUGAAAUUGAAUUGUUAAUUAACUUGAGUAGGA